UACGGAGGGUGCGAGCGUUGUCCGGAAUCACUGGGCGUAAAGGGCGCGUAGGCGGCCUGGUAAGUAGGGGGUGAAAUCCUGCGGCUUAACCGCAGGGCUGCCUUCUAAACUGUCAGGCUCGAGCACGGUAGAGGCAGAUGGAAUUCCCGGUGUAGCGGUGGAAUGCGUAGAGAUCGGGAAGAACAUCAGUGGCGAAGGCGGUCUGCUGGGCCGUUGCUGAUGCUGAGGCGCGACAGCGUGGGGAGCAAACAGG
rnacentral:rRNA from 1 species